AAUGUUACUGUAAUUACCCGAAGUGAGACAUACAACUUACGUGGUGCUCUGUCUUGUAAAGGCCGCAGCACAGAAAAUGUGUCCUCUGUUGGAUUGUACAGAAAAUGUUGAGUUACCUAGUGUUGGGGUUUAUCCCAAGUGUCUUGGUGCUCCACUUCCUGGCAGAACCUCACAGGCAUUUCAGAUUCCGAGAUGUCAGAUGUGUAGCAUGCCUGUUUCCAUUUCUUUGAAAUCUUGUCAAAAGAUGCUGAAAGAAAUAGA